UACGUAGGGCGCAAGCGUUGUCCGGAAUUAUUGGGCGUAAAGAGCUCGUAGGCGGCCAGUUGCGUCUGCUGUGAAAUCCCGGGGCUCAACCCCGGGCGUGCAGUGGAUACGGGCUGGCUAGAGGCAGGCAGGGGAGAACGGAAUUCCUGGUGUAGCGGUGAAAUGCGCAGAUAUCAGGAGGAACACCGAUGGCGAAGGCAGGUCUCUGGGCCACUACUGACGCUGAGAAGCGAAAGCAUGGGGAGCGAACAGG
rnacentral:rRNA from 1 species